AGUGAACGCUGGCGGUAGGCCUAACACAUGCAAGUCGAACGGCAGCACAGUAAGAGCUUGCUCUUACGGGUGGCGAGUGGCGGACGGGUGAGGAAUACAUCGGAAUCUACUUUUUCGUGGGGGAUAACGUAGGGAAACUUACGCUAAUACCGCAUACGACCUACGGGUGAAAGCAGGGGAUCUUCGGACCUUGCGCGAUUGAAUGAGCCGAUGUCGGAUUAGCUAGUUGGCGGGGUAAAGGCCCACCAAGGCGACGAUCCGUAGCUGGUCUGAGAGGAUGAUCAGCAACACGGGAACUGAGAAACGGUCCAGAUUCCUACGGGAGGAAGAAGUGGGGAAUAUUGAACAAGGGGCGAAAGCCUGAUCAAGCAAGACCGCGUGGGUGAAGAAGGCUUUCGGGUGGUAAAGACCUUUUGUUAGGAAAGAAAAGCAGAAGGUAAAAACCCCGCUGAGCUGACGGUACCCAAAGAAUAAGCACCGGCUAACUUCGUG
rnacentral:rRNA from 1 species